rnacentral:tRNA from 1 species
GGAAGCGCAUGCAUCGCUGGUGCGGGCCGCGGUCUUCAAAGCCGUUGGGCCGUGCGACAAACGCGCGGCCGGUGGGUUCGAUUCCCAUGCGCUUCCGC